AGUGGAGAGGUGAGACUAGCAGUGUGUGGCCUGGGACAGGAGUAGAUAAAAGGCAGCCAUGGUGAGCCAGCGCCAUGAGGAGUGGCUGCCUCUUGAAUCCUGUCAGUCUCCGGCAGAUCCGAUUACAUCUGGGACCCUUAAGAGUACUUGAAGCAAACGGCGCUGGUCUAUUUUAAUCCUGCUCCUUCUAGAAACUAGAAACUGUAAGGAGAGUCUUCCUGCUGACAGGUGGCUCCAUAAAAGUCGUCCAUCUGCUGCUAAUUAUGGCAGAAAGAAAAUUCACAGAGCCGAGUUUUCAGUUUAUUUGCUAAAGAUCUCCAAAGGUGUAACUGUCUUCCCAGAUCACAAGGCCAUUCACAGCGUUACAUCUAUAGCGCUUGUUAAUUAUUUAAAUAAUUUACAACUCGGGGUGGCAGCGAGCAUUUAACAGAAGUCUGGCUGGGUGAGGAUGGGUUUGAUGGUUGAUCAUGGCAGAGGAGGAGAAUCUGUUUUCACAGCUCACAGAAUCUAGACUUGUGGGGUUUUGUUGUUCUCCUUACCAUUCUUUCCAAGGGAAACUCAAAAAAGGGUCAGAAUUUGGAAUAUUUUGGACUUGAUUGCUUUGAUUCCCAAACUUCAGUUCAUCUCCCUCUCCUCUUCAUGGUUUCAUCUAUAAAAUGGGUACAAUCUCUCAACUGUUUAACUCAGAAGGCUUUUGUGAUCUUGGAAUAGGAUAAUUUAUUAAAAAGUGUCAUGUAUAGCAUAAUAUAUAAAGAAUUUUAGACCCAUGAAAUAGAUAGAAAUGAGUAAAUCUGAUAGGUCAGAUGAUAAAAUAAUUUAAUAAUAAAAGACAGAUAUUUUUCCC
rnacentral:lncRNA from 1 species